rnacentral:lncRNA from 1 species
GCACAUACAGGUCCCUCAAGGCAGAUUCUGUAACAUGCUGUUUCCGCUCCCUGGAAUGCUCAAACUCUUCUUCCCCUCAAAUCCUGACACCCACUUUAGAGUCCAGCUCAGCUGUUCUUUUUUCAAUAAUGAUAAUUCCCCAAUUGGAAUCAAUUUAAUUCCUUGCCUCAUUCCCUAAACACUGCCUUUCUUCUGUAUCAUUUAUGCUGCUUGAUUCUGAAGAUCAGGAAUCUAGUCUCACCCGUUCUUCUGUCCUUUGGGUUAUCAUAACAACUUUCAUUGUUUCUCACUGUGAUGUGAAUGUUCUCCCCAAUUAUCUGAUAUCACCUAUUUUCUCAUAUUUUCCACUU